rnacentral:misc_RNA from 1 species
GAAGCACCGUGGCGAGAAGG